AUGAACAAAAAUCAUUCCUCCUUCUCCCUCAAAUGUGAACGAAAUCCUCCUCCUCUUUUUCUGAUUCAUUCGUCGAACAGAGCACCACCACAAACCACCGCAUCUCUGCCUCUCCUUCGUCGUGACAAUACCUCACUGAUCCAACUUCAAAUCUGCUUCUUCGUCGCGGUUUCAACCAUAUCACUCUUCGUUCUCAGGCGAAACGUGAUGAAGAUUGAAGAUGACGAUGAAGCUCUUGCAGAAUUCAGAAGAAGCCAUAAUAAUUUGGUCAGAGUUUGA